rnacentral:lncRNA from 1 species
GCAGUAGUGUAUGUUACACUGUUAAAGGGAGCUUAGUGACUGAAAAAUGCCUGAGCUCAGAGCAAGAGACCCACCCUUGAGUUAUUUAAUCAAUUUCAGUAGAGAAUGUGGGACGGACUUCCUUACUCUACCUAAAAUUUUAUUCUUAAUGAGGAAUCUACCUGUCUUUCCAGUUCUGUUAAUUGAUCUGAAAAGCUGAGUAACUCAGGGAAAUUGCUAGAUUUGAUCUCAAAAGAUUAUUGCCCACAGUGGUCACAAAACAGUGCUCAGUAAAGUGCAUGCUGAUUCACUGAGAGGAAGGAUCAACUGGGUAAGCCACCUAGGGUCUAUACUGUGGAGGUAGAGACAGUAUUCACAUGCUAAGUGGGGCAUUUCUAAAACCUAUUAGCAGAAAUGCUUAAAAUAAAUUCAGCCUAUCAAUGAAUCCCUCCAAUUCUCCUAAAUAACCAAAAUGAAAAGUCAUUAGAAGUUUUAAGAAAGUUUUCCAAGAAGCAAGCAUGAAACAUACCGUCUAAAAACUUUGCUUAGUC